CGCCUCUUGCCCGAUGAUAAGAGGUCCCGCCUGCCCUGUGACGAAAGUUUAACGGCCGCGGUAUUUUGACCGUGCGAAGGUAGCGUAAUCACUUGUCUUUUAAAUGGAGACCUGUAUGAAUGGCAUAACGAGGGCUAGACUGUCUCCUUUCCCCAGUCAAUGAAAUUGAUCUUCCCGUGCAGAAGCGGGAAUAACAACAUAAGACGAGAAGACCCUAUGGAGCUUUAGACCCUCGCAGCAGACCACGUCAAAACCUUUAAACCACUAAAACUAAACAGAGUGUCCUCCUGCUACAGGUCUUUGGUUGGGGCGACCGCGGAGAAACAACCAACCCCCGCGUGGUACGGGCCACCCCCCUAAAGCCAGAGCCACCGCUCUAACGAGCAGAAUAUCUGACCUUCAAGAUCCGGCAUCGCCGAUUAACGGACCGAGUUACCCUAGGGAUAACAGCGCAAUCCUCUUUCAGAGCCCAUAUCGACAAGAGGGUUUACGACCUCGAUGUUGGAUCAGGACCACCUAAUGGUGCAGCCGCUAUUAAGGGUUCGUUUGUUCAACGAUUAAAGUCCU
rnacentral:rRNA from 1 species